GACGAACCGUCCUAACGUUGUUCGGAUUCACUGGGCUUAAAGGGCGCGUAGGCGGCUUGCCAAGUCAGGGGUGAAAUCUUUCGGCUUAACCGGAAAAGUGCUUCUGAUACUGGCGAGCUGGAGGGAGGUAGGGGCAGACGGAACUUCCGGUGGAGCGGUGAAAUGCGUAGAUAUCGGAAGGAACGCCGGUGGCGAAAGCGGUCUGCUGGAUCUUUUCUGACGCUGAGGCGCGAAAGCCAGGGAGCAAACGGG
rnacentral:rRNA from 1 species